UACGUAGGUGGCAAGCGUUGUCCGGAUUUACUGGGCGUAAAGGGUGCGUAGGCGGAUAUUUAAGUGGGAUGUGAAAUACCCGGGCUUAACUUGGGUGCUGCAUUCCAAACUGGAUAUCUAGAGUGCAGGAGAGGAAAGCGGAAUUCCUAGUGUAGCGGUGAAAUGCGUAGAGAUUAGGAAGAACACCAGUGGCGAAGGCGGCUUUCUGGACUGUAACUGACGCUGAGGCACGAAAGCGUGGGGAGCAAACAGG
rnacentral:rRNA from 1 species